GAUUUGCUGCAGACAGAAACUUAAUUUCUUUAGUUUGGACAAAUUCCAAGCAGAGCUAAGGCAUUUUUACAAUCCUAUUUCUUACACAAAGCAAACAAUUUUCUUCUGUUUACUUAAGCAUGCUGAGACAAGAAAAAAAUCCAGAAGCUUACAAGAUCACAGCUGUCUGUUCUUCAGAUACUGGUUCAAACCUCUGAUGAAGGUGACUGCAUGAUGGGAUACAGUGAACUCUGCAAGUUUCCAGACAUUAUCAAAUUGGCUAAUGACUGAAGUGCUGGGCUGAUAGGAGAGAUGUAGAUAAGCUGAAUAAAUGGGCUGACAGCAAAGUCAUGAAUUUCAAAGGAAAAUUCCAGCAGAAAAGAAACAACAGCAGAAACAACAACAGCAUCAUCAUCAACAACAAAAAACCCUACAAAAAGAAAGCAAACCAAAAUAACAACAAAAACCAUCAGAGGCUGGGACCUAGUGACUGAAAAUCAGCUUUCUAGAAAGUGAUCUAUGGGUCCAUAACUUGUCUGCGAGGCAGCAGUGUUCCAGGGCAGGCAAAAAGCAUUGCCAGCAAGUCAAGGGAGGUGAUCUUUCCCCUCUGCAAGAGAGAGGAUCUUGCCUACAUCUUCUUCAGAUGGGCACAUCUGAUACACUGUGAUCAGUUCUAUGCACACCAGUAUAUAAGAGACAUAAAUAUAAGAGAAGAUAAAUAGCCACAAAGAUUCCCAGGGGACAAGCUGAAGCACAUUACUGUGAAGAUGCUGAAAGAUCUGAGUUUAUCCAGACUGAAGUAAAGAAGUCUGAGAAAUAUCUUACUGGUAUCUACUACAACAUAACGUAGAGGAGACUAAGCCAGAGUUUUCCUGGAGGUGUACAAUAGAAGGAUGAAAGGCAAUGGACCCAAGUUACAAAAUAGAAGUUCUGAUUAAGUACAAAAAGAUGUUUCUCAUCAUGAGAGUGCAAUACUCAUGAUAAGAGACACUGUAAGAGGUAUCAAGAGAUGCACUGAGGAGUUUUACUGUCUCCCCUGCUUAGUGAUAGUCAGACUUCACAGGGCAUGUCCUUGAGCAAUUACCCUGACCAGGGCCGAUCCGUUCAGAGGGGACUGAACCAGACAGUCUCAAAUAGUCUUUUCCAACUUUUCUUUUUCUGUAAGGUAAGGUUUGAUAAGGGCUGCAGACAAACUUAUGCUUCUUAGUAAUUGUUAUUUUACUCGUGAGCUAAAAUAACCUGUUUGGUUUUUUGUUUUGUUUUGUUUUGUUUUGUUUGUUUGUCUGGGGGGUUGGGGGCAGGGAGAGGAAUACAUUAUUGUGUUGAUUAAUUUAAAACACAGAAACCUUAUUUUGAUUAUCCUAGUGGUAUGCAAUUUCUAUCAAAAUGUUGAUAAUAACAUGGUGCAUAAAUGUAAACAACCAUGAUGUCUUGCUCUGCUGCAACAGGGUUUAUUAUAUCUGAAUCAUCAUGUAUUAAAAAAGCUUGCAAAUAUUUAUGCGCUUGUUUAA